CACAGACACGUGCUUGCGACUCACAGUAUCCAAGACGACUUCAAAGAGAUAUCUUUCACCAGAGGGAGCGAAGGAAAAGUUGUACGUAUGGGCUUCCUUUGACUAAUACCUAACGGAACUUACACUGCUGCCGCAUAUGAUCCCCAACACAACCUUCACCAUGUGUUCUUGCUUGGAUUCACCAACUCCUUUGCCUUUAUUGUGGCUUUGUCCGGAGGAGCAAAAGAAGCAGGUACUGCAAGCGCCUUUGCAUUGAUGGUCUGAAGCGUGACAUGAAAGAAGAGGUGAUGGUGGAGUUCUGGUUUGCAGUGGGGGUAAUGAGAACCGCCGGCCAUGAGUGGGCAAAGAGCUAAACAAGGUCUCUGCCGAUGUGACGGGUCUCUGCGGUGAUUAUACUGUGCUAGAUUCGAAGGGAAUAUAAGAGCAAAUAUAGAGCGUAAAGAGGGAGGCUGGGCACUGUUUGAACUCACGUCGAUGCAUGUCAGUGCCGUCACCUAGGGAUACAGUGGAGAUAUGGAAGGAUUUUGCCGAUUUACCACUGGCUCUGCUCUCUCUCUCUCUCUCUCUCACUCUCAAACGGGAGAGCUGUGAGGGUCCGGGUUUUUACAUCUCCUACACAUUACACGGUGGAUAGAGUUGAUUUAGACGUGAAGCCACCCAUGGAGGGGUAGCCUGCACUGCUGCUGCCUUAUAUGCUACAUGGGAAGGAGACUCUUUUAUCAUAGGUAUAAUGUCUUGGAACCAGGACUUCUGAGAUAGGCAUAGAUGAGAGGCUUGCGGAUGUAAAGGGGGGAAGAAGAAGGUUGUCCACAGUGUCUCCUCCAGUUCUAGUAGAAAUCAGCAGCAAACUCUUACUUCACCAAAGCGGCCCUUAUUAUUUGCAUAGUAUCUGAGUUCUCAGAGAACCUAAAAAGACACUACAGAUUAAAGAUAUAUUAUUAUUACAGACAAUUAAUUAGGAUUAGAAGUCUCAAUAAGAUAAGAUUAGUACAUGCUCUAUUGAUGUCUGUGUAGAAUUAAAUGAACUGCUGUGAAAAAAAAAUUUAGCCCAUCACUUAUGUAGUUCUCUCUUUUUAUCAUGCAUUAUUGGAGUUCAUCACCUUCCCACAAUAAUUGACUUGCUUUGUAGUUGUCUCUUUUUACUGCAGUAGAAAGCUAACAUUGCACCACUUCAUGAGUAAGAACUGAUUCCAAGCCAUCAAGAGGAGGAAGCGAGAGGAACCAAGAAAAGGCCAUACAUUUCAACUAUCAUAGCUGUCUUGCACUCGAGGCGGCUGCUUCCCUUCGAUGGGCUCGGUGACUGCGUAGAUCUCGGCGAGGCUACGGCACGUCUUCCUGCGAGUUCUUGCCCUGCGUCUCUUCACCUCCGCUGCCGCCACCGAUACUAAUAUCGUCAAUGCUUCUUGCCUCCAUUCAUCGUCGUGUUGAGCGAGCUUUUCUUUUCCUACUGCAAGCGACGCCAUCUCUUGAUGCAGUCUCCGCUCUGCCAUUGCCAUCCCUCUGUGUUUGUUUCUGGGUCGGUUGCUAUCCAUGUAGUUCUAUAGACCUGGAGAAGAAUCGUAACUAAUAUUAAGACGAUCUAAACAAGUUUUUACGAUGAUAUUUUGCCCCCUCCUUGACAUCUUUAUAGCACCAAAAAAAAAAAUCUCGAAAUACUUGCACCAGAAAGAUCACUCGUUAGGAUCUCUCUGCAACUAUUGCUUGUCCCAUUUGCGUGGGUAUAAUCCAACGUUUUAAAUUAUUCUUGGCCCUACCUAAGAGUCAUAAAUAGCCUCAAACACCAUAUUUUCCUGUGUGAAGUCAAGUUGAUGAAAAGUAUGAAUUCUCGCUUAAAUCAAGAGGACCCCUUUGACAAUCCAUCGAAGCUUUAUGAUUGCCAUAUUCUACGGACACAAUUAGACGUAUGAUUGAG
rnacentral:lncRNA from 1 species